rnacentral:rRNA from 1 species
GUGGGGAAUCUUGCGCAAUGGGCGAAAGCCUGACGCAGCCAUGCCGCGUGGAUGAUGAAGGUCUUAGGAUUGUAAAAUCCUUUCACCGGUGAAGAUAAUGACUGUAGCCGGAGAAGAAGCCCCGGCUAACUUCGUGCCAGCAGCCGCGGUAAUACGAAGGGGGCUAGCGUUGCUCGGAUUUACUGGGCGUAAAGGGCGCGUAGGCGGACCUUUACGUCAGGGGUGAAAUCCCGGGGCUCAACCUCGGAACUGCCUGUGAGACUGGGUGUAUUGAGUAGGAGGGAGGUGUGUGGAACUCCGAGUGUAGAGGUGAAAUUCGUAGAUAUUCGGAAGAACACCAGUGGCGAAGGCGACACACUGGCUCAUUACUGACGCUGAGGCGCGAAAGCGUGGGGAGCAAACAGGAUUAGAUACCCGGGUAGUCC